UACGAAGGGGGCUAGCGUUGCUCGGAAUCACUGGGCGUAAAGGGUGCGUAGGCGGGUCUUUAAGUCAGGGGUGAAAUCCUGGAGCUCAACUCCAGAACUGCCUUUGAUACUGAGGAUCUUGAGUUCGGGAGAGGUGAGUGGAACUGCGAGUGUAGAGGUGAAAUUCGUAGAUAUUCGCAAGAACACCAGUGGCGAAGGCGGCUCACUGGGACGGUACUGACGCUGAGACGCGAAAGCGUGGGGAGCGAACAGG
rnacentral:rRNA from 1 species